rnacentral:lncRNA from 1 species
ACACUUGGUCCUCGCUUAUGCCGCCAUGGGCCUAUGAUAGCUUAUAGGAUUAGGUUUUAGGGGCUUGGUUGUGGGAGCAUCUGAGUAGGGCUAAGGAUUGAGGGUUAAGGUCAUACGGGAGUGAGCAUCUCUACAUCUAGGCCGAUGUCGGUGCGGGCAGGAUUGGGUGGGGAUGUGCCGAUGUGGGGUGGACGUGCGGAUGAGCAACUCUACGAGAUCUAUUUAGUUUUCUCAGUCUGUCAGUUUGUCUACUCCUAAAGCUGAAGCUGAAGCUAAGAACAAAAGUUGUAGAAAGAAAGAGAUGAAGUCAAAACCAAAAACCAAAAAAACAUCAACAUUUCAGUUUGAUUCAAUUCAGUUCUUGGUUUUCGGUGAAAAAGUGCCCAGCGAGACAAUGCAGUGAUGUCUCAUUUGGGAUGACAUGUAUAAGUAACAGACAUAUAUUUCCAUAUCUACAUUUCCAAUUUUUUUCUUUUUUUUUGCAAAGUGUGCAUGCCGCACACAAACCAUAACAACUUAGCUUGGGUAGUGUGUGCUUAAAUAGAAUUGGGAAAGUGGUUUCAGUUAUUACUUAUCAUGCUCCCAUAUGUACAAAGUCUAAUUCUAGGCCAAUGCACUCAUGUCUCAUUCAGGAUCACAUGCACAAGUAUGAGACUAAUAUCCCAAUUGCUACAUUUUUUCCUUUUUUCUUCUUGAUAGUGUUAGCUCACUCCAAUGUAGCAUCUAGCCAUGUAACAUGACAUACUAGUCCUUCUAACUUGGCUAUGUGGAUCUGCUUGCGGCAACCAUGCCUUCUUCUCCUUCGUGCCAAGCCGAGUUCAUGAGCCUCGUCCACACCUAACUGACAUCAUCCAAGGUCGACAUGCUCCAUCCAUCAUAGGGGCUCUAGCCAGAGGUAGCGGAGGCAAUAAACUAGUCCUUGGCAAUCAUGUGAUCGUCCAGCCUAGCCCCAACAACACCAACUAACAAUGAUCGCCACUCAAGGCGAGAGGGUAUCAAAGGAAUCGCUUGCACAAAGAACCUAGAUCUGAUACUAAUUCUCAUGUCCCUCUUGAUCCAGGGACGCAACCGGGAUAUAUCUAUAUAUUUGGGGAAGAACUUAGAAGAGAGAGUAGAGGUAAAGAUGGAAGAAGUAGAGAGGAAAACUAGGAUAAAUAGAAUUAGGAAAGCAUUUCAGUUACUCAUCAUGCCUUCAUACGAAAAAAGUCCAAUUCUAGGCGAACACAUUGAUGUCUCAUUCAGGAUCACAUGUACAAGUACUAGACCAAUAUUCCCACUACUACAUUUCACUAUUUUUUCUUCUUGAUAG